rnacentral:rRNA from 1 species
GACGAACGCUGGCGGCGCGCUUAACACAUGCAAGUCGAACGGAAAGGCCUGCUUUCCCUUGUGGAUUGCGGGUACUCGAGUGGCGAACGGGUGAGUAACACGUGAGUGAUCUGCCCCCAACUUGGGUAUAAGCCUGGGAAACUGGGUCUAAUUCCCGAUAGGACUGCAGGGUGGUGCCUGUGGUGGAAAACGACUUUCUAGUGGUUGGGGAUGAGCUCGCGGCCUAUCAGCUUGUUGGUGGGGUAAUGGCCUACCAAGGCGGCGACGGGUAGCCGGCCUGGGAGGGUGGACGGCCACAUUGGGACUGAGAUACGGCCCAGACUCCUACGGGAGGCAGCAGCGGGGAAUAUUGCACAAUGGGCGGAAGCCUGAUGCAGCGACGCCGCGUGGGGGAUGACGGCCUUCGGGUUGUAAACUCCUUUCGACCGCGAGGAAGCCACCUGGUUGGAAGGGUGGUGACGGUAGUGGUAGAAGAAGCACCGGCUAACUACGUG